rnacentral:rRNA from 1 species
GAUGAACGCUAGCGGCAGGCCUAACACAUGCAAGUCGAACGAGACCUUCGGGUCUAGUGGCGCACGGGUGCGUAACGCGUGGGAACCUGCCUUUAGGUUCGGAAUAACUCAGAGAAAUUUGAGCUAAUACCGGAUAAUGUCUUCGGACCAAAGAUUUAUCGCCUUUAGAUGGGCCCGCGUUGGAUUAGCUAGUUGGUGGGGUAAAGGCCUACCAAGGCGACGAUCCAUAGCUGGUCUGAGAGGAUGAUCAGCCACACUGGGACUGAGACACGGCCCAGACUCCUACGGGAGGCAGCAGUGGGGAAUAUUGGACAAUGGGCGAAAGGCCCUGAUCCAGCAAUGCCGCGUGUGUGAAGAAGGUCUUCGGAUUGUAAAGACACUUUAAGUUAGGGUAGGAAGGGUAGGUAACCUAA